ACGUAGGGUGCGAGCGUUAAUCGGAAUUACUGGGCGUAAAGCGUGCGCAGGCGGUUCGCUAAGACAGGUGUGAAAUCCCCGGGCUUAACCUGGGAAUGGCGUUUGAGACUGGCGGGCUGGAGUACGGCAGAGGGGGGUAGAAUUCCAGGUGUAGCGGUGAAAUGCGUAGAGAUGUGAAGGAAUACCGGUGGCGAAGGCAGCCCCCUGGACAGAUACUGACGCUCA
rnacentral:rRNA from 1 species